CCUACGGGUGGCUGCAGUAAGGAAUAUUGGUCAAUGGACGAAAGUCUGAACCAGCCAUGCCGCGUGGAGGAUGAAGGUCCUCUGGAUUGUAAACUUCUUUUAUAUGGGACGAAAAAGGGACUUUCUAGUUCAACUGACGGUACCAUAUGAAUAAGCACCGGCUAACUCCGUGCCAGCAGCCGCGGUAAUACGGAGGGUGCAAGCGUUAUCCGGAUUAAAGGGGUCGAAGGGGGGUUGGUAUGGGUGGGUAGAAAUCUCCGAGCUUAACUUGGAAACUGCCAUUGAUACUAUCAGUCUUGAAUACCGUGGAGGUCAGCGGAAUAUGUCAUGUAGCGGUGAAAUGCUUAGAUAUGACAUAGAACACCAAUUGCGAAGGCAGCUGGCUACACGAAUAUUGACACUGAGGCACGAAAGCGUGGGGAUCAAACAGGAUUAGAUACCCCGGUAGUC
rnacentral:rRNA from 1 species